GAACGGAGCUAACACUCCAACCCACUGUGAACCUUACCUCAGUUGCCUCGGCGGGAACGCCCCGGCCGCCUGCCCCCGCGCCGGCGCCGGACCCAGGCGCCCGCCGCAGGGACCCCAAACUCUCUUGCAUUACGCCCAGCGGGCGGAAUUUCUUCUCUGAGUUGCACAAGCAAAAACAAAUGAAUCAAAACUUUCAACAACGGAUCUCUUGGUUCUGGCAUCGAUGAAGAACGCAGCGAAAUGCGAUAAGUAAUGUGAAUUGCAGAAUUCAGUGAAUCAUCGAAUCUUUGAACGCACAUUGCGCCCGCCAGCAUUCUGGCGGGCAUGCCUGUUCGAGCGUCAUUUCAACCCUCGAGCCCCCCCCGGGGGCCUCGGUGUUGGGGGACGGCACACCAGCCGCCCCCGAAAUGCAGUGGCGACCCCGCCGCAGCCUCCCCUGCGUAGUAGCACACACCUCGCACCGGAGCGCGGAGGCGGUCACGCCGUAAAACGCCCAACUUUCUUAGAGUUGACCUCGGAUCAGGUAGGAAUACCCGCUGAACUUAAGCAUAUCAAUAAGACGGAGGAA
rnacentral:rRNA from 1 species